AAAAGAGGAAAAAGAUGGAGGUCGGAUCGCGUGAAAAUAAAGAAAAUUUAAGAAAAGGGAUUAAAAAGAAUAAUGCUGAACUUUUAUCAAAGAAAAAGAUUCUUGAAAGUGGAAUACCAGAAAUCUGCUAAUUUAACAAAAUAAAAUUAAUAUAAAGCAUUAUUAGAUAAAUUUCUACCCGCCUGAGUGGCCGAGUAAGCAAAAGUCUCGACGACCAACUCGGUGUUCGUGGGUUCAAAUCUCAAGUACGGACGGCAAGCAAUUGAUAAAUUAAAAAUACAAAAAAAAAAAAGUAUCGGACACAAAAUAUAUGUGAAUUGAUUUACAAGAAAGAGACGAAUUUGAGAAUUAAUAACGAAGCGGAGGAAACAGAUGACAGUUACGAAAGAUAUUGAACGGAAGUGUGAUGUCUGCGGCGAGAAAGUUGCUUUGUAAAAUAACUAAGAAUGUGUAAUAAACAUUAAAUUUAGUUAUAACUUCAUUUAUCUAUGCCUAAUAUGUGUAUACUAAAGAAUUUCAGUAAAAAAUUCCACGGUAUGGCUGUUUGGAACUUUAUUUUUUUUGUUGUCAGGUGUACAUAAUCAUUUCUUACAAACAGAAAAUAUAAACAGCAAAAAACAUGUUUAAGAAUAGUCAUCUUGUUGCCUCGACACUGUACAAAAAUUUCAAAUAGGAAAAAAAACACUACUUAACGUCAUCAUUAUUUUCAACCUUGGCACAGGUGCCAAACCGUUAUCGUAUGAAGUGGCAAUUGACCAUUAUCUUAUGAGGUCUUUCAUUUAAUUUUAUUCCGUUGCACUCAUCAUUUUUGUAAGAUAGCGUUAGAGGUCUUCGGACCCAAAUUUGGGUUUACCAAUAAACAUCAUGGGCCAAAGCAGGGUGAAGAAAGGCCCAGGGCUUAGUGUAUACACGUUCGUUAAGCUAGAUUUCAUUCAUCUGAGUGUUCGUUUACGAAUCAUCAAAAGAACAAGUCAUGAAGUAGUCGUUAAAUCAUUACCAUCCAUAGAUUUACGUUGGUAAAGUGGUGCCCAUGAUGAGGACUGAUAAGUUUGGAAAAAGAGGAUUUACAAACACGCAAUGUUACAAAUGCUUCUUCAAAAUGUUUAUAUUUUUCUGAACUCAUAUUUUUAUAUUCAUAUGCCUCCAACUUCAUGUACCCUCUAAUUUUAACAUUCAUUUUAUUACAUAUUUUGUUUUAUAGUUUCGUAGUUUCCGUUCUCAUUCAUUUCUUCAUAUCUUCAGUUCUUUUAUUUAUAUUUUCCUAUUAGUAAUU